UCUGGGUAUGUUUGGGAAGAUCGUCUAGUGGUUUGUGGAGAUCGUUUAGUGGUCUCCAAUUGCCUAGUUGUUUGUUUAGACCAUUUAGUGGUUUGUGGAGACCGUUUAUCGGUUUGUACAAAUCGUCUAGUGAUUUUUAGAUGACCGUCUAAAAGUUUGUUUUGUGUUAUGCUUAAGGAGCUCUUGGUUAUAUAUAUGUGUGACCAAGGGUACUCCCUCAAGUGGACUCUUUUGUACUUAUUUUUUUUAAAAUAACAUUUUGUUUUUCGUGCAUGUCUGUUUGAUUAUAUUUCCAACAUAAAAUACGAAAGCAAG
rnacentral:lncRNA from 1 species